UUGGAGGGCAAGUCUGSUKYYAGCAGCCGCGGUAAUUCCAGCUCCAAUAGCGUAUAUUAAAGUUGUUGCAGUUAAAAAGCUCGUAGUUGAAUUUCGAGAUCAGUACGCUGGUCGUGCCUUCGGUAUGCACUGGUGUCACUGGUUUCUCCCUUCUGAAGAACCGUCAUGUCAUUAAGUUGGUGUGGCGGGGAAUCAGGACUGUUACUUUGAAAAAAUUAGAGUGUUUAAAGCAGGCUCGCGCUUGAAUACAUUAGCAUGGAAUAAUGAAAUAGGACGUUUGACCCUAUUUUGUUGGUUUCUAGGAUCGACGUMMUGAUUAAUAGGGAUAGUUGGGGGCAUUAGUAUUCAAUUGUCAGAGGUGAAAUUCUUGGAUUUAUUGAAGACUAACUACUGCGAAAGCAUUUGCCAAGGAUGUUUUCAUUAAUCAAGAACGAAAGUUAGGGGAUCGAAGGCGAUCAGAUACCGUCGUAGUCUUAACCAUAAACUAUGCCGACUAGGGAUCGGAUGAUGUUAAUUUUUUAAUGACUCAUUCGGCGCCUUACGGGAAAC
rnacentral:rRNA from 1 species